rnacentral:lncRNA from 1 species
CUUGAAGUGGUGCAUGAAAUUUUUUUUAAUAUUUACUUUUUAGUUUUAGGUGGACAAAAUAUCUUAUUUCAUUUUUAUAUGAUGCUGAGGAUUGAACCCAGUGCCCCAUGCGUGCUAAGUGAGCGCUCUACCACUGAGCCCCAACCCCAGCCCUUUUUAUUUUAUUUUGAGAUAGGGUUUUGCUAAAUUGCUGAAGGCUGUCCUUGAACUUGUGAUCCUCCUGCUUCAGCCUCUGGAAUCACUGGGAUUACAGAUGUGUGUCACUGUGCCAGAAUAACAGACAUUUUGACCACUAGAAUGAACUCAGUAGAAAAUUGUUAAGGAUGUAAUGACGUAUGUUAAUGCUGACUGACAAUUGUUUUGUAUUCAAAGAAAACAACAACAACAACAACAAAAAAGUUUAAAUGUUUUAAUAGGAUGUUAAAUCAGUAUUACAGUUUUAAUAUUAAAGAUUUUUUAAAGACUGAUGGCAACAUUUGUAGAUAUGUUCAGAAAAGCUUCAUAAGAUUUUGGAAAUAUUUGUCAUGAAAAUGAUGGAUUGGAUUAAAAAUCCAUUUGUAUCAUCACAAGAAAAGUCAUCAUUGUAUUUGUCAAUAAAUGAAGGAAGAACUCAGAUUUAAAGAGUGAUUGUAUACUUGACACACAAUUUUAAUAGAUCCAAUUAUCUGAAUUAUGAUAAAUGGAAGAGUCUCUGUUAGAAAAAGUGAGGAAUCUCUUCUGAUAUUUUCUAUUUCCUGUGUAUGCAAACAAAGUUUAAAGAAUUCAAAGAGAUCAUCUCUUCAAAUUGCGUAUAAUGAGUUUAACUAUUAUACCUGUUAGGUUGGUGGGAUAAAGCUCAAGUUUCUCAUAAAAACUUUUUAAAAGAUUUUUUUUGGAAGAACUCAAAUAAUUUAUUUAAUUAAAUAUUGAAUAUCACCCACUUGAAUCAAAUGUAUGAAAUAUGAUAUGUCAAGAACUAUGUAAUGUUUUGAAC